rnacentral:rRNA from 1 species
GCAGUCGAACGCUUCUUUUCCCACCGGAGCUUGCUCCACCGGGAAAAGAGGAGUGGCGAACGGGUGAGUAACACGUGGGUAACCUGCCCAUCAGAAGGGGAUAACACUUGGAAACAGGUGCUAAUACCGUAUAACAAUCGAAACCGCAUGGUUUCGUUUUGAAAGGCGCUUUACGGUGCCGCUGAUGGAUGGACCCGCGGUGCAUUAGCUAGUUGGUGAGGUAACGGCUCACCAAGGCCACGAUGCAUAGCCGACCUGAGAGGGUGAUCGGCCACAUUGGGACUGAGACACGGCCCAAACUCCUACGGGAGGCAGCAGUAGGGAAUCUUCGGCAAUGGACGAAAGUCUGACCGAGCAACGCCGCGUGAGUGAAGAAGGUUUUCGGAUCGUAAAACUCUGUUGUUAGAGAAGAACAAGGGUGAGAGUAACUGUUCACCCCUUGACGGUAUCUAACCAGAAAGCCACGGCUAACUACGUGCCAGCAGCCGCGGUAAUACGUAGGUGGCAAGCGUUGUCCGGAUUUAUUGGGCGUAAAGCGAGCGCAGGCGGUUUCUUAAGUCUGAUGUGAAAGCCCCCGGCUCAACCGGGGAGGGUCAUUGGAAACUGGGAGACUUGAGUGCAGAAGAGGAGAGUGGAAUUCCAUGUGUAGCGGUGAAAUGCGUAGAUAUAUGGAGGAACACCAGUGGCGAAGGCGGCUCUCUGGUCUGUAACUGACGCUGAGGCUCGAAAGCGUGGGGAGCAAACAGGAUUAGAUACCCUGGUAGUCCACGCCGUAAACGAUGAGUGCUAAGUGUUGGAGGGUUUCCGCCCUUCAGUGCUGCAGCUAACGCAUUAAGCACUCCGCCUGGGGAGUACGACCGCAAGGUUGAAACUCAAAGGAAUUGACGGGGGCCCGCACAAGCGGUGGAGCAUGUGGUUUAAUUCGAAGCAACGCGAAGAACCUUACCAGGUCUUGACAUCCUUUGACCACUCUAGAGAUAGAGCUUCCCCUUCGGGGGCAAAGUGACAGGUGGUGCAUGGUUGUCGUCAGCUCGUGUCGUGAGAUGUUGGGUUAAGUCCCGCAACGAGCGCAACCCUUAUUGUUAGUUGCCAUCAUUUAGUUGGGCACUCUAGCAAGACUGCCGGUGACAAACCGGAGGAAGGUGGGGAUGACGUCAAAUCAUCAUGCCCCUUAUGACCUGGGCUACACACGUGCUACAAUGGGAAGUACAACGAGUCGCGAAGUCGCGAGGCUAAGCUAAUCUCUUAAAGCUUCUCUCAGUUCGGAUUGUAGGCUGCAACUCGCCUACAUGAAGCCGGAAUCGCUAGUAAUCGCGGAUCAGCACGCCGCGGUGAAUACGUUCCCGGGCCUUGUACACACCGCCCGUCACACCACGAGAGUUUGUAACACCCGAAGUCGGUGAGGUAACCUUUUGG